rnacentral:rRNA from 1 species
CCCUUAGAUGUUCUGGGCCGCACGCGCGCUACACUGAUGCAUUCAACGAGCCUAUCCUUGACCGACAGGUCCGGGUAAUCUUUGAAUCUGCAUCGUGACGGGGAUAGAUUAUUGCAAUUAUUAAUCUUCAACGAGGAAUGCCUAGUAGGCGCAAGUCAUCAGCUUGCGUCGAUUACGUCCCUGCCCUUUGUACACACCGCCCGUCGCUCCUACCAAUUGGGUGUGCUGGUGAAAUGUUCGGAUCGGCCGUUUGUCGCGGUUUCCGCGGCUCGUGGCUGAGAAGUUCAUUAAACCCUCCCACCUAGAGGAAGGAGAAGUCGUAACA